rnacentral:ncRNA from 1 species
UACCUGGUUGAUCCUGCCAGUAGUCAUAUGCUUGUCUCAAAGAUUAAGCCAUGCAAGUCUAAGUACGAGCUCUCGUACAGUGAAACUGCGAAUGGCUCAUUAAAUCAGUUAUGGUUCAUUUGAUCGUACAGUUUACUUGGAUAACUGUGGUAAUUCUAGAGCUAAUACAUGCGAGAAGCGCCGACCUCGCGGGAGGCGUGCAUUUAUCAGACCAAAAACCGGCCGCGUCUUCGGGCGCGUUCGCCUUGGUGACUCUGGAUAACUUUGCGGAUCGCACGGUCUAGCACCGGCGACGGAUCAUUCAAGUGUCUGCCCUAUCAACUUUCGUCGGUACGGUAUUUGCCUACCGAGGUUCUUACGGGUGACGGGGAAUCAGGGUUCGAUUCCGGAGAGGGAGCCUGAGAAACGGCUACCACAUCCAAGGAAGGCAGCAGGCGCGCAAAUUACCCAUUCCCGACGCGGGGAGGUAGUGACGAAAAAUAACAAUGCAGGACUCGUUCGAGGCCCUGUAAUUGGAAUGAGUACACUUUAAAAGCUUUAACGAGUAUCCAUUGGAGGGCAAGUCUGGUGCCAGCAGCCGCGGUAAUUCCAGCUCCAAAAGUAUAUAUUUAAGUUGUUGCGGUUAAAAAGCUCGUAGUUGGAUUUUGGGCGCAGGCGGCCGGUCCGUCGCAAGGCGUGUACUGGACGUCCUGCCCUUCCCUCCGGUUC